GGUUAAGUGACUAAGCGUACACGGUGGAUGCCUAGGCAAUCAGAGGCGAAGAAGGACGUGCUAAUCUGCGAAAAGCUUGGAUGAGUUGAUAAGAAGCGUUUAAUCCAAGAUAUCCGAAUGGGGAAACCCAGUAGAUGAAGAAUCUACUAUCAAUAGAUGAAUACAUAGUCUGUUGAGGCAAACCGGGAGAACUGAAACAUCUAAGUACCCCGAGGAAAAGAAAUCAACCGAGAUUUUGUCAGUAGCGGCGAGCGAAAGCGAAAGAGCCAGCAAGUGAUAGCAGCAAAGACAGAAGAAUUGGCUGGGAAGCCAAGCGACACAGGGUGAUAGCCCCGUAUUUUAAGUUUAUGUUGUGGUACUAAACUUGCAACAAGUAGGGCGGGACACGAGAAAUCCUGUUUGAAGAUGGGGGGACCAUCCUCCAAGGCUAAAUACUCCUGAUUGACCGAUAGUGAACCAGUACUGUGAAGGAAAGGCGAAAAGAACCCCAGUGAGGGGAGUGAAAUAGAACCUGAAACCGUGUACGUACAAGCAGUGGGAGCCCUUUUGGGUGACUGCGUACCUUUUGUAUAAUGGGUCAGCGACUUAUAUUUUGUAGCGAGGUUAACUGAAUAAGGGAGCCGAAGGGAAACCGAGUCUUAACUGGGCGGUGAGUUGCAAGGUAUAGACCCGAAACCCGGUGAUCUAGCCAUGGGCAGGUUGAAGGUUGGGUAACACUAACUGGAGGACCGAACCGACUAAUGUUGAAAAAUUAGCGGAUGACUUGUGGCUGGGGGUGAAAGGCCAAUCAAACCGGGAGAUAGCUGGUUCUCCCCGAAAUCUAUUUAGGUAGAGCCUUAUGUGAAUACCUUCGGGGGUAGAGCACUGUUUCGGCUAGGGGUCCAUCCCGGAUUACCAACCCGAUGCAAACUGCGAAUACCGAAGAGUAAUGCAUAGGAGACACACGGUGGGUGCUAACGUCCAUCGUGGAGAGGGAAACAACCCAGACCGCCAGCUAAGGUCCCAAAGUCUAUAUUAAGUGGGAAACGAAGUGGGAAGGCUUAGACAGCUAGGAUGUUGGCUUAGAAGCAGCCACCAUUUAAAGAAAGCGUAAUAGCUCACUAGUCGAGUCGGCCUGCGCGGAAGAUGUAACGGGGCUAAAAUAUAGCACCGAAGCUGCGGCAUCAGGCGUAUCACAAAUACGCCUUACGAUUAACAACAUCGAAUGAAGUGAAACGGAAUAAGAUGUUGGUCAAGCACCCAACACGUUGAGUUGGCAUAAAGUGCGGAUAGAAAUCAGAGGAAUAUUUGUGAUACGCCUGUUGGGUAGGGGAGCGUUGUGUAAGCGGAUGAAGGUGAAUCGAGAGGUUUGCUGGACGUAUCACAAGUGCGAAUGCUGACAUAAGUAACGAUAAAACGAGUGAAAAACUCGUUCGCCGGAAGACCAAGGGUUCCUGUCCAACGUUAAUCGGGGCAGGGUGAGUCGGCCCCUAAGGCGAGGCUGAAAAGCGUAGUCGAUGGGAAACGGGUUAAUAUUCCCGUACUUGGUAAAGCUGCGAUGUGGGGACGGAGAAGGUUAGGUUAGCAGACUGUUGGAUGUCUGUUUAAGUUGGUAGGUGGGAAGUUUAGGCAAAUCCGGACUUCCAUAACACUGAGAGAUGAUGACGAGUUUCUACGGAAAUGAAGUAACUGAUACCACGCUUCCAGGAAAAGCCACUAAGCGAAAGGCUUUACUAAACCGUACUGAAAACCGACACAGGUGGUCAGGUAGAGAAUACUCAGGCGCUUGAGAGAACUCGGGUGAAGGAACUAGGCAAAAUAGCACCGUAACUUCGGGAGAAGGUGCGCUGGCGUAGGUUGUAAGAGUAUACCUCCGAAGGCUGAACCAGUCGAAGAUACCAGCUGGCUGCAACUGUUUAUUAAAAACACAGCACUCUGCAAACACGAAAGUGGACGUAUAGGGUGUGAUGCCUGCCCGGUGCUGGAAGGUUAAUUGAUGGUGUUAUCGAAAGAGAAGCUCCUGAUCGAAGCCCCAGUAAACGGCGGCCGUAACUAUAACGGUCCUAAGGUAGCGAAAUUCCUUGUCGGGUAAGUUCCGACCUGCACGAAUGGCAUAAUGAUGGCCAGGCUGUCUCCACCCGAGACUCAGUGAAAUUGAAAUCGCCGUGAAGAUGCGGUGUACC
rnacentral:rRNA from 1 species